rnacentral:rRNA from 1 species
AUUGAACGCUGGCGGCAGGCCUAACACAUGCAAGUCGAACGGUAGCACAGAGAGCUUGCUCUCGGGUGACGAGUGGCGGACGGGUGAGUAAUGUCUGGGAAACUGCCCGAUGGAGGGGGAUAACUACUGGAAACGGUAGCUAAUACCGCAUAACGUCUUCGGACCAAAGUGGGGGACCUUCGGGCCUCCCACCAUCGGAUGUGCCCAGGUGGGAUUAGCUAGUAGGUGGGGUAAUGGCUCACCUAGGCGACGAUCCCUAGCUGGUCUGAGAGGAUGACCAGCCACACUGGAACUGAGACACGGUCCAGACUCCUACGGGAGGCAGCAGUGGGGAAUAUUGCACAAUGGGCGCAAGCCUGAUGCAGCCAUGCCGCGUGUAUGAAGAAGGCCUUCGGGUUGUAAAGUACUUUCAGCGGGGAGGAAGGCGAUGAGGUUAAUAACCGCAUCGAUUGACGUUACCCGCAGAAGAAGCACCGGCUAACUCCGUG